AGUAUGCAGUCGAGUGGUGUGAUG
rnacentral:siRNA from 1 species